AGGCUUUGCUUGGUGAAUUUGUGUUUGAAACAUAAGGUUUAUACUUUGCAUUAAAAAUGCAAUAAAUAAAGCCUUGAACAGUCAGACUUUCUAUUGAGGACAAAAUGCUCAAACGAUCCUAACAGACUCAGCCUUUCUCAGGGGUAUCUGAGGAACUCCCCCAAGACCUCUACUCUUUCCGAAGUGCAGCAGAAAUGAAAAUCUUUCUUCAUGCAGCCACAAACGAAUGGCCCCAUCCUGACCCAGCCAAGAAUAUUUCCAAGAGAGCAGUUGGGAAAGUAAUAUAUCAAG